GAUGAAGAACGCAGCGAAAUGCGAUACGUAAUGUGAAUUGCAGAAUUCAGUGAAUCAUCGAAUCUUUGAACGCAUAUUGCGCUCUCUGGUAUUCCGGAGAGCAUGCUUGUUUGAGUAUCAGUAAACACCUCAACUUCCAUAUCUUUUUUGAAAUGGGAGUUGGACUUGAGUGAUCCCAACGCUUUUCCUCACCGAAAAGUGGCGGGUUACUUGAAAUGCAGGUGCAGCUGGACUUUUCUCUGAGCUAUAAGCAUAUCUAUUUAGUCUGCCUAAAAAACAGAUUAUUACCUUUGCUGCAGCUAACAUAAAGGAGAUUAGUUCUUGUGCUGACUGAUGCAGGAUUAACAAAGACGGCUUCGGCCGACUUUGUAAACUCGAUCUCAAAUCAAGUAAGACUACCCGCUGAACUUAAGCAUAUCAAUAAGCGGAGGA
rnacentral:misc_RNA from 1 species